rnacentral:rRNA from 1 species
GAUGAACGCUAGCUACAGGCUUAACACAUGCAAGUCGAGGGGUAGCACGGAGGAAGCUUGCUUCCUUGGGUGACGACCGGCGCACGGGUGAGUAACGCGUAUCCGACCUACCCAUAACACGGGCACAGCCGCUCGAAAGAGUGAUUGAUUCCCGAUAUGUCAUAUAAGUAGAUUAUAUGAUGAAAGAUUUAUCGGUUAUGGAUGGGGAUGCGUAAGAUUAGGUAGUAGGCGGGGUAACGGCCCACCUAGCCGACGAUCUUUAGGGGUUCUGAGAGGAAGGUCCCCCACACUGGUACUGAGACACGGACCAGACUCCUACGGGAGGCAGCAGUGAGGAAUAUUGGUCAAAUGGGCGGAAGCCUGAACCAGCCAAGUAGCGUGAAGGAUUACAGCCCUACGGGUUUUAAACUCUUUAUAUAAGAGUAAUGUGGUCUACGUGUAGAUUAUUGCAAGUAUUAUAUGAAUAAGCAUCGGCUAACUCCGUG